GUCUGUUGGAAAUCUUUCUUUAAAUUUUUAUACUUAUUUUACAAAAUGUACCUCUGUUUGUAUGUCUGUAAGAUUCAAAUCCAUCAGAGAUUUCUGAGGAACUACAAACCAAGAGUUUCUGAAAGUCAUCAGUCCUCAUGUGAACAUGCUAUACUGAGUAAUGUAGUUCUCACCCUUUCAACUCCCCGUUAACGGGAUGCCUAAAUAUUGUAACACCAAAUUUCAUAUAUUCUUUUCGUAAAAUACGCUCUGUAGUUUUAUAGGAAAGAGUACAAGAGUUAUGCAUACAUGUAUUUAAGUUACUAUUCACAAUACACUCAUUACAAGUGAAUGAAAUUGCAGCA
rnacentral:lncRNA from 1 species